CCUACGGGAGGAGCAGUGGGGAAUAUUGGACAAUGGGGGGAACCCUGAUCCAGCCAUGCCGCGUGUGUGAAGAAGGCCCUCGGGUUGUAAAGCACUUUCAGUGAGGAAGAACGCCUGGUGGUUAAUACCCAUCAGGAAAGACAUCACUCACAGAAGAAGCACCGGCUAACUCCGUGCCAGCAGCCGCGGUAAUACGGAGGGUGCGAGCGUUAAUCGGAAUUACUGGGCGUAAAGCGCGCGUAGGUGGCUUGAUAAGCCGGUUGUGAAAGCCCCGGGCUCAACCUGGGAACGGCAUCCGGAACUGUCAAGCUAGAGUGCAGGAGAGGAAGGUAGAAUUCCCGGUGUAGCGGUGAAAUGCGUAGAGAUCGGGAGGAAUACCAGUGGCGAAGGCGGCCUUCUGGACUGACACUGACACUGAGGUGCGAAAGCGUGGGUAGCAAACAGGAUUAGAUACCCUUGUAGUC
rnacentral:rRNA from 1 species